CACUCAAAUAGGUUGGAUUUUGGAGAGCAAUCAGACCAGGUGGGCAAAGUCAAGCUGAAUACAGAGUGAAAGAGUGGGCAGAGUGGAGGUGGCCAGCCCAGUUGUCAGGAGAAAGACUUCAACAAUCUAAGAAAAAAGAAGGAGGAGGAGGAGGAGAAGAAAGAAGAAGAAGAAGAAGAAGAAGAAGAAGAAGAAGAAGAAGAAGAAGAAGAAGAAGAAGAAGAAGAAGAAGAAAAUGGGCACCAAUGGAGCAGUGACGUGCUAGAAAUCAGAAAGGCAGCCAAAAUCUGCUACACAUCAUUUAGUCUUGUGCCAACCAAGGUCUCCCUAAUCUCUGAAUCUGAGAUAAGAGUGUGCUGCAUGAUGUGAUAUGAUAAUAUAUCUCCAAAAUAUUAUCUGCUGCUGUCUAAGUCAUUAAUUCUUUCUUCAUCUCUCCUACAUGCUGUGCUGUGUGGCUGAGAAAUAUUGACCCAUGGUGCUCACCAGGAGAGGAGCAGGCUUCUAUCUCUCUGUUUUGGUGUGUAUUAGAAGAACCAGAGCCAGUGUGCCAGGGAACAGCCUAGUCUCUGGCUGUCUCUCAGCUGCUGAUAAAAUUCUUCCUUUGACUACACAAGCAACAGCUGUCUAGCUGCCUGCACAAGACUGGAUCUACUGCCUCUACAGAAAUCUAGGUCAAAACACUUGGAAUGCAUGAAUAUCAAACAGAGUUUUCAAAACAGCAAAUGAAUACAUCUUUAACUGGUGACAUUUUCCUGGAGCAUAUGGCUGAAGCUCAGGGGACUGAAUGCUUUUUUGAUGAAUAUGUUCCAUCAGAAACUAAGGGACGGCAGUAGGCUCUUGCCACCUUCUGUUUUGCCUUAUGAAAUGAUAAUGCAAGCUCAUGGAUAGAUACAGCGAUCACAGGGCUUUUACCUCCGACAGCCUAAGGAAGUGCUUUCCCCUGUGAACGAGUUUCUUUGUCUUUAGUAGGAUUUAUAUUUGUACAUAGUUAUCAAGUCAAUGGAACAGAACAGUUUUCUUCCUAGGGUAGAAUUUGAUUGGUUGAAAAUGUAAAAGUACUGAACUGAAAAGCAGUAAGAAAAUCUUAGGUUGGUAUCUAAGCCAAUAAGUUAUGGCCACAGCUGCGGAAUGCUGUUCCUAAUCCUGUCUCCGUGUCAAUAUCAAGGGACUAGGUGAUCAUCUACCAUGGUGUAUCAGAAAUAAAAGCCUUGGGAUGAUUGGCGGUUUCUCACCUGGUUCAGAAGUCCACCACCAAUGAUUCCAAUGUGUCUUGAACAUGUUCUGUUACUGCCAUGACUUUGUUGACCCCAUGCUUAAUGAAACUGCAGAGCUGCAAUGAUUUCAAAGUCUUUUUACUGGUUCUAAAGUUCCAGGUUUGCACGAGUUUAUGAAACCAGUUUAUUCUUCAUUGCAUCAUGCUUAGAAUCACACAACUGGGAACAAUAGGAGUGGACUCGUUGGAUGGUUUUGAGUGGUUUGCUGUUCACUCUUUUCUUUAAAAGAAAAAUUCCCUGAAGAGCAUUUUCUACUUCGCAUUCAAGAAAGCAAAGCAGAAGGAAGAAGGGAGACCAUCCCUCGGUCUCCUUAUUCCAGCUCAGUCCAACAAUCACUGGUUUUGGAUACAAACACACAUAACUAAGCUGAGUUAUGGCAGACAGAGCCUACAUUUCUGUUCCUGUCCAGCUAAUGAAUUUUAUCAGACUGAGAAUGUGUUAGUGGCAGCUUAUCCUUUACACCUGACUUUCUGUGUUUGGAUGUUGUUUGAAUAGAAUUUGUGAUUGUUCCAGGAACCCAUCAAUACAACAUUUUGACAGGAAUAUGCAAUCUUCUUCCUUGAUUUCAAUAAUUCCUUGAAAU